CUCGAUUCAACUCUCCUCUGAAGACCGGUCAGGGAAGGUUCGCUCGAGUAAUGACGUCAUGCUUUUGUCGUGUGCUCUUUUCCGCGAAAGCGCGGUAUCGAAACCAGCUGAACGUUUGGUUGUCGAAAAGCCUCGACCUCCACGACGGGUUAUCAAUACCAAUUGGACACCGAAAUAGCAACACUCUUCCGAUCCGGAUUGUGCGACAUGGUUUCUGAGGACCAUGCGAACGCCCAAAGACAUAUGAGCCGGAUACAUUUCCCAGGACAAAGCGCAGGCUAGCUGGUGGAUAAAUGCCUGGGUGGAACUUGGGAAAAAUUCUGAGCUGUGGAAGGAAGGGACAACACGACAGAACUCUGUCACGAAUUUCCCGUCUUUUCGCCCAAGCUCAUACUUCUUUCAAGUUCUGCUCACAUUCGACUCCGACGUCGCGGACAUUUCCGUGACUCUAACCAUGCCCGCACCCCUACCUCAGUUCCAGGAUUCCAACCAGCAGCUUCCGCCUUUUGUAUUUUUCAUCUUCUGUCGUCAUGAUGUUAACAUUUUUCCUUUUUUUCAUUUGACUACCAAGUGCAACGGGAUGU